rnacentral:lncRNA from 1 species
CUCUAGAAGAAAUAGCUGCAGAACACUUACAGACUGAUAUUCAGCACUUCCUUCUCAGCUUCUGCAAGUACCUAACUGCUCACUCUGGGAGAAAGUAACAGGCACACUCACUUCAGAGUGACUGCAGGCUUUAUUUCUGAUGGCCCCUUGCAGAGAAACUCACUGUGAAACUUUUUGUCAUUUACUUACAAACUGGAUCCAAUGGGUAACCUUUCUUAUUUGGUGCUGGAUUGAUGGAAAAGAAUUUCACAAUAACUCUUCCCACUGACCUCACCGUUGUGUAUCAAGGAAUAGAAGUGUCAUUCACUUCAUAGGAGGCACAGGAAGCAUCCUAUGAAACUUUGUUCUGUAUGAAGUGCCUACAUCAAGAGUUCCCUUCAUUUGCAAGAAAAGGAAAAAUGUUUGAUAUGAACCUGGU